GGGGGCACGAGGAGGAGGGAGAUUUGAUUUCAUCAAGACAGAGCUAGCCCGUCCCCCUCCACCCUGCCGGAGUCCCCUGGUCACAACUCUCCUGGUAGCACCUUACUGCUGGGUCUGAAGAGGGUGUCAGUGCGGCUGGUCAACUGCAGGAAAACACCAGGGCAGAGUGGAACUGUGAGAGAAGGACACGAGGAGGGAGAUUUGAAUUCAUCAAGGGACAGCACUAACCAUUCUCUCAGUUGGAGGGGCAUGUCAUCUGCGGAGCCUCAACAACAUUGUUGCUGACGAGACAGAGAAGUGUCUCUAUAGAUCAGAACACCCCAAGAAACACCAGCAGAGACGUAUAGGGAAGAAACCUCAACACUGCUGCUCUGACUGUGGGAAGAGUUUCACUAGCAGGAGUGACUUCAUUAUUCACCAGUGGAUUCACCCCCGAGAGAAACCGUACUGCUGCUCUCAGUGCGGGAAGAGUUUCACUGCUUCUAACGCCUUCCAAUCUCGCCUGCAAAUUCAUGCAGGGGAGAGGCCUUACCCUUGCCUUGAUUGUGGAAAGAGCUUCAAUCAGUCAAGCAACCUGACUACACACCAGCUAACACAAACUGGAGUGAAGCCUUACAGCUGUGAUCAUUGUGGAAAGAGCUUCAGUCAAUCAUUAAACCUGAAAACACACCAGCUAACACACACUGGAGAGAAACAUUAAAUAGACAUACAGUACCAGUCAAAAGUUUGGACACACCUACACA